GAUCCAAAAUAAACAAACACGUAUGUGGUUGAAAGUUCUUUUUAUUUUAACACUCAAAUUUUCUCAGUGUUGGGAGAUUAAUUAAAUUUUUAGACUCACCUGCCGAGAUACUACUACAAAUAAAGAGCGAGUGUAGAGAAACCAGGUCUGCAGGGGAAUUUAAUAAAUGACGCACAGAUGGCGAAAAAGAUGAAACGCCUUCAACUCUUAUCUCAGAUGUCUAGCAGUCAUACUGAUGGUAUUAAAUGAUAAAGAUUCUAGCGAAAGUAAGAAGCUUUAUCUUGAAAACUUAUGCUGGCAGAUGAGCAUAGAAAUGCAUAGAAAUGCUCAUCUCGUGUACAACUAGUAAAACUUACACACCUUCCUGAAAUUCUACCCUGUUUCUAUUACUUGUGGUUCUCAGUUCAGUUUACUCUGAAUUAUUCAGUGGCAGUAAAUUAUAUUUCACGGAUUAACAUUUCCCAACAUUUGUCUAUGG